rnacentral:rRNA from 1 species
UACGAAGGGGGCUAGCGUUGCUCGGAAUCACUGGGCGUAAAGGGUGCGUAGGCGGGUCUUUAAGUCAGGGGUGAAAUCUGGAGCUCAACUCCAGAACUGCCCUUGAUCACUGAGGAUCUUGAGUUUCGGGAGAGGUGAGUGGAACUGCGAGUGUAGAGGUGAAAUUCGUAGAUAUUCGCAAGAACACCAGUGGCGAAGGCGGCUCACUGGCCCGAUACUGACGCUGAGGCACGAAAGCGUGGGGAGCAAACAGG